rnacentral:rRNA from 1 species
UACGUAGGGACCGAGCGUUGUCCGGAAUCAUUGGGCGUAAAGAGCGUGUAGGCGGCCUUUUAAGUCCUGCGUGAAAUCCUGCGGCUCAACCGCAGACGGUCGUGGGAAACUGGAAGGCUAGAGUGCGGGAGAGGAGAGUGGAAUUCCCGGUGUAGCGGUGAAAUGCGCAGAUAUCGGGAAGAACACCCGUGGCGAAGGCGGCUCUCUGGAACGCAACUGACGCUGAGACGC